ACCAAAUAUGAAGAUAACGGUGCUGUGCCAACCGGUGCAGCAUGGGGGAAGCCGGUGCAAAUCCGGCACGGUCCCGCCGCUGUAAGGGGGAGAUUUUUUUAAAAAGAUCAAGCCUAAGUCAGAUUACCCACCGUUAUUUGUCACACCAG
rnacentral:ncRNA from 1 species